UUUUUCAGGCAGCAAGACAAACUUUUGAGACAGGAACAUAUCCUUCAGGUGUUAAUUCAAAACAGUACCACCUAAAAUUCUGUCAGAGCCUUUGGAUCAAGUUUUCUAGAGAUAAAGUUAAUGCUAAAUAACUUUUUAAUAUCAAGCACCUGUUCUCAUUUAGUAAUUAAGUAGUUCACGGCUGGUUAUUUGAUAGUAAUUAUGACCUGAAUUUGAGCCUUCCUAGUUCUUCUGCUUCUCAAGUAUUAACACAGGUAAAAUCUUGUGCGAGUAUCCUGUAAGUGGCUAAACUGGUCUCUACAACAAAAGCAUAAGCUUUCUAUGCUUUGCAUGUCUGUAGAGAACAGUGAUAUAAGUUGGUAGCAAUAAAUAUUUAAAGUAAAAAGCAGAGAGAUGUAUUUGACUGGAUAACCGAAGUGGUAAAUGAAGAUUUCUUUACUGUUCUAGAUCAGCAGCCCUUGGAGGCUUAAGUUAGGUUACAUUUCGUAAGAACUUAAGCAGACCAAAGUCACCCCUAGUCCUACCUUUGCAUGAUUCCACCUUUUCCUAAGCUUUAGUGAUGCCAGUUUAGGCUGACAUUACGUUAAGACUGCUCUGGGGGAGUGAUACUGCAAAGAGACUAGGCUCAUCCCCAUUAAGCUCUGCAGUGAAAGACAGGAUUAAAUACUUCCCCCCUCUGUUGUUCUGGUGUGAAACUUAGUUUGUUUAGAUGUCUGUCUGCUCUAUGGCUUGAUCUCUGAUUCUGAGUGCACUUGUAGGCUCCAAUAUGACAUUUCUAAACUGACUAGAAAUAGUAAAAAAAAAAUCUCAGCCCUUCAAAAUUUCUCAAGUUUGUGGAAUUAGUUUUGUCAUCUUCUCCUCAGCCUUGCUGGUGGAAGCUGGUUUGGCCUUCAUGUAAUUUUUGAAUGCUUGAAGUGGAAGUGCUAUUUUAGGUAUAGCUUAGAAGACAUGCCAAAGUCCAGUGAAACUGAAUUCUGCUGUCAUUAAAUAGUAAAAAUGUCAUUCUUGGACAAGUUUUCAAUGUCUUUCAAAAUAAUGCAGGUGGUACAAAAUAACACACAACAUCCAUUCAGUUCAAGAUGGGAACAAAGUUCAGAUUUUCUGAGUCAGAACCAAAUACCAGCUCCUCUGCUUCUUUUUCAGAAAUACACGUCAUGAAUUUGAAUCCAAGUUCCAUUUCUCACAUCAAAAAAUUGCAUGCAAUUUUAAAUGGUUUAAGGUGCCAGGUGAGGUCACUGCUGGAGACCAGCACCCCUACAACAAAGUUCAAACAGAGACUGAAGAUCUAAGCUUGGGAGGACUUCCUGGACCUGUGGUUAGAGGAUGUGGCUGGAAGCCACAGGUGAAGUUGGUGAGGGCCGUUAAGUACCCUCAGGGCUCUGACACAAGGCAGGAGACGUUUACUAAUUGUUGAUCAAUGGAGCUCCCUAGAAACAACUUGUGUCAAAUGACAGAGUUCUUGCUUUAAUCUUGUGAUAUUAUUAUCACACAUACAGUGGGGUAGGUGGGGAGAAUUAAAAUACCGGAGGGACGGCUUACGGUUAAACCAACAGCAUGAUUUAACAGUCUCUCUUUAUUUUCAGAUUUUUGAUUGCAAAUUCCAUAAUUUUUUAGGUUAAAAGAUUUGUAGAAUAUGAUUAGAAGUUGACUAGUGGACGUUAUAGCUCUUGGACUCUAUACGUAGUUUAUUUUCCUAGCUAGCUCUAUAGUGAUAUAAAGCUUAAAUGUUGUUAGAAAUAGCCAAAAUAAACUUUAAUUCUAAAGCUCUACUACUUUUAAUUGAUAAACGCUAAAAUGAAGAUGUGUAUUAAGGUCUGAUACAGCAUUUCUUGCAGAAAUUGCAUUGCAUGCUGAUAAGAAAGGUUGGUACCUACUGAAGAGUUUAAUGUGCCCAAAGCUUCAGCAGGAUCAUGUGACAUAAGCGGAAACCAAAUUUGAGCAUUACAUCAUAAGAAUCGUCUGUCAUAGUCUCACCUAUACUGAGGCCUAUUACUAUUUCUAGCAGCUUCUAAGAGCUCCCUUCUCCAAAUUAACCUUUAUAGCUUCCUAGUAAGAGUUAAUUUCUGCUCUUACCUGUACUACUAACUUGUUUUUUUAGAAAUGUAACAAAGUCUCUGCAGCUGACACAAAGCUCUGAAGUUAUAUGACUAGAGAAUAUCCUUUUAUCUUAAUAAAGCAAGUUGGUUUGAGGAUUUUUUUAAAUCAUUUUUAUUUUCUUCUCCUGGAAUCUAGCACAAGAAGAUAUGGACAGUAAUCAUUGCCAGUCCUAGUGAGAACUGGAAGAAUAAUUUCUGUCCCACAAGUAAAAAUAUUCUUAAUUUGGUUCAUACAAGAACAGCUAUGCAACUUAAUAUUCCAGUUGUUGUGACAACGUAGAGUUGCUUUACUGGCUACAGCAGAAGUACCUCAUCCUCCUGGAAAGCACUCCAUAUUUCAAAUUACAUAGCUUCAGGAUGGACACAAGAAUUGCAUAGGCGAGUUUUGAUUUGAAGUGUAGUCUGCUUGCUCUCAAUUUUAUUUUAUUUUUUUAGGUAUACUUUUCAUUUGGAAAGCAGCUGUCAUUGCUGGACAUUGCAUAGACAAGUGCUGUUCAUAUGAAAAACACUUGAGACAGAGAGCCAAAUGCUUGUAUUUAGGUGCCUGCAGUUACAGAACUAGCUUUUGAGGUCAAUAAAAGUGGGAUGUGCCCAUUCUGCCACAUCUGAAAAUAAAGCACUUCAGUGCCCAAUUUAAGGCACUAUGUUUGA